GAAAUCAAGAAUUCGGUUGAACACUACCCUUCUAUAAUAUGUUUUUGCAAAAGGAACUACCUACGUCAGACAGUGAAUAAAUUAAACUACUAAUAAUAAUGUUCCAUAUAGCUGUGAUCACAUGUUGUUCAAGUUGCGACUUCCUCUCAACAGCUAAUUGCUUUCCACAUGGCUGGCAGAACACUACCUUGCCAUCCGCUGUAAAAAUUUCGCACUCUUCAUUAUACGUGGCAAUCCAAUUCCGAAGGGUACUCGAUUGCUACCAUCCUUCCACAUUCUCCCGGUUUAAAUCUUCCAAUCGAGUUUUAACUUUAGAAUCGUUAAUCACUUCAUUCACGUUUUUUUACUCGUGCUGUUUAUCGUAAUCU
rnacentral:lncRNA from 1 species